GAAGAGAUUCAGAAAGAUUCUAUGGACACAACUACUUGGUGGCCUGGCCAGGAAUAGCUUACUUCCAAGCCUCUAAACUCCCUGGCCUGGCCACCCUGAUUAUGCCAGAUUGUGAUCUGCCAGCCCUAAACCAGGAGUGUUACUGUGUCUUUCAACUCUCUCCACUUUAGCACCUUCUCCUGUUCUCUUAUCUGUUAUUGCUGUUGUUUCUGAGCUAUGCAGUUAUCUCAAAGAACAUAUUUUGAGAUAAGGGGUUUUAAAAUUACCCUGUUUAGAAAUGCAUAAUGGUUUUUAGUACUUGUAUGGUAAUUUUAAAAAAUCUAAGAAAGAAAGGAAGAAAGAAAGGAAGAAAGAAAGGAAGAAAGAGAAAAAGAAAAAAGUAUUGUCCAACUUCUGUUCACUGACACAAGUGGAUUUGGGAUUCAGCUUUCAAGUGGAUUUGAAGCAUACAAUUGUAGUUAUUAUAUGGGUGUGUGUGUGUGUGUGUGUGUAAUAUCCUGUGUGCAUGUUUUACCAAAGCAGUGUCUCUUUUGGAGUAAAAUGGAGAGGGAUGCUUAGCCAGGCUGUGUAGUUGUUGUCCCCUGACGUCUGUGACGCCAUUGAAGCAGGAUGGCCAAAGGGAAUAGUUCCCUGAGGGGAGCAGUGGUAGGCUCAGGGCUCUCUGCUCGUGACCCAGCCUGCCCCUCUAACUGCACAUAGUUGACUUGGACAACGUGGGAAGAACAUGAGGGGUACCCUUACUGUGGCUUUGUUGCAGCCAUCCUGAGAGAAGCUGUUCAUUUUGUCGUCUUUCCCGUAACAUGGGCCACUUUGAAGGGGAUUGGUGGAAGGAGCGGGACCCCGUUAUUCUGUGCAGUGCUGAGCAGAGAGGAGGAAGAGUUACGCGUUGCUCGCGUCGUUCAGCCAUGUUGUCCUGCUUCUAGAAUUUUCCAUCCUUAAGUUUUCAGUGGUAAUGACUGUUCCUGUCAUUCGUAGAAAUUCCUGUUGGUUCUUUGUCAGAUGGUGCUUGAAGGGCUAGGGAGAUGGCGUAGGCUGAAAAGGGCUUCCUGUUCAACUUCUUAUCCUGGCCACAAUCCCCGGAUUGUAUUCCUUCCUUUGGGCUUCCUCUCUCUGUUUUAUAUCAUUUCAAACACGCUGAUGCUCUCGUUCAGACUGACCCACGAUGCUUGUUCUGAAUGAGUUACUUCUUUUGUUGGUGGUGUGUUCUGUUUGGGGGAACACAGUGGUUUGGGCUCCAGGGGGCCCUCAGGUAUCCUGUGUACCAGAGGGGUCUGUCUCUUCUGUAGCAGCCCUGGGUGUUUCCUGGGCCCCUGACUUUCUGCCAGAGAGUCUGGGCUGAAGAUUCGGUCACUAGGCUCCUGGUAGAAGAGAGUUUGCCUACCCAGAGCAUUCAGGGAACGAUGCUUACCCUGCCCCAGACCCUAAGGCAGCGGUUCUCAGCCUGUCCGUCAAGAUCCUUUAGUGGGUCGAAUGACCCUUUCACAAGGGUCGCAUAGCAGAUAUUGGCAUAACGAUUCAUAACUGUAGCAUAAUUACAGGUCUGAAGUAGCAACGAAAACAAUUUUUAUGGUUUGGCCCACCACAACAUGGGGAACUGUCUUAAAGGGUUCCAGCAUAAGGAAGGUUGAGAACCGCUGCCCUAAGGCUUUCUUGCCACUUCUCUGGACAGUUGGAAAGAAACAUUCAGGCUCUCUUUUCAGAGAAGACUUUGAUCUUUUCAGGGCCUCGGCUCUGUGAAGAGGCUUCGGCUUUUCUUUGUUUCUGGUAGGUACCAGGUUGCUUAAUUCAUUCUGGCUUCUUCAGAAGGCUGGAGAAGAAAGAACAUUAAUGAAAAUGU
rnacentral:lncRNA from 1 species